UAAACAUUUCAUAUCUCCUUCUGGAUCACACACUUGAUCACAAAAAUAAACCUCCCUUCCCCAUUUCCACAUUUCUUUUUUUUUUUUUAAAGAUUUAUUAUUUAUUUAUUCAUGAUAGAGAGAGAGAGACAGAGACAGAGACACAGGAGGAGGGAGAAGCAGGCUCCACGCCUGGAGCCCGACGCGGGACUCGAUCCCAGGACCCCGGGAUUGCGCCCUGGGCCAAAGGCAGGUGCCAAACCGCUGAGCCACCUGGGGAUCCCCAACAUUUCUACAUUUCUAUGUCCCUCUGGAGCUUUAUGUGCAGUGCUGAACAGCCUGGUGGCAGGCACAGGUGGGAUGGAGAGCUCCAUUCAAAGAGAGCGAGGCUUCACACUCUGAAAAUGAACAGAAGAAUGAGAGAGGUAGGG
rnacentral:lncRNA from 12 species